CCUACGGGUGGCAGCAGUGGGGAAUAUUGGACAAUCGGCGAAAGCCUGAUCCAGCCAUGCCGCGUGUGUGAAGAAGGCCUUCGGGUUGUAAAGCACUUUCAGUGGGGAAGAAAGCCUUGGGGCUAAUACCCUCGAGGAAGGACAUCACCCACAGAAGAAGCACCGGCUAACUCCGUGCCAGCAGCCGCGGUAAUACGGAGGGUGCGAGCGUUAAUCGGAAUUACUGGGCGUAAAGCGCGCGUAGGCGGUCUGAUAAGCCGGUUGUGAAAGCCCCGGGCUCAACCUGGGAACGGCAUCCGGAACUGUCAGGCUAGAGUGCAGGAGAGGAAGGUAGAAUUCCCGGUGUAGCGGUGAAAUGCGUAGAGAUCGGGAGGAAUACCAGUGGCGAAGGCGGCCUUCUGGACUGACACUGACGCUGAGGUGCGAAAGCGUGGGUAGCAAACAGGAUUAGAUACCCUGGUAGUC
rnacentral:rRNA from 1 species